CCUACGGGAGGCAGCAGUGAGGAAUAUUGGUCAAUGGGCGCAAGCCUGAACCAGCCAAGCCGCGUGCGGGAAGAAGGUUCUAUGGAUCGUAAACUUCUUUUGUAAGGGGGUAAAGUGUGGGACGUGUCCUAGGUUGUAAGUACCGUAUGAAUAAGGAUCGGCUAACUCCGUGCCAGCAGCCGCGGUAAUACGGAGGAUCCAAGCGUUAUCCGGAUUUAUUGGGUUUAAAGGGUGCGUAGGCGGCCUGUUAAGUCAGAGGUGAAAUCCUGGGGCUCAACCCUGGAAUUGCCGUUGAAACUGGGGGGCUAGAGUUUGGUUGAGGCAGGCGGAAUGUGUGGUGUAGCGGUGAAAUGCAUAGAGAUCAUACAGAACCCCGAUUGCGAAGGCAGCCUACCAAGCUAUGACUGACGUUGAGGCACGAAAGCGUGGGGAGCAAACAGGAUUAGAUACCCUGGUAGUC
rnacentral:rRNA from 1 species